rnacentral:rRNA from 1 species
AGAGUUUGAUUCUGGCUCAGGAUGAACGCUAGCUACAGGCUUAACACAUGCAAGUCGAGGGGCAGCAUUGGAGUAGCAAUACUUCAGAUGGCGACCGGCGCACGGGUGAGUAACACGUAUCCAACCUGCCGCUUACUCGGGGAUAGCCUUUCGAAAGAAAGAUUAAUACCCGAUGGUAUAAAAAAGUUCGCAUGUUCUCUUUAUUAAAGAAUUUUGGUAAGCGAUGGGGAUGCGUUCCAUUAGAUUGUUGGCGGGGUAACGGCCCACCAAGUCUACGAUGGAUAGGGGUUCUGAGAGGAAGGUCCCCCACAUUGGAACUGAGACACGGUCCAAACUCCUACGGGAGGCAGCAGUGAGGAAUAUUGGUCAAUGGACGAGAGUCUGAACCAGCCAAAGUAGCGUGAAGGAUGACUGCCCUAUGGGUUGUAAACUUCUUUUAUAAGGGAAUAAAGUGAGGGACGUGUCCCUUUUUGUAUGUACCUUAUGAAUAAGGAUCGGCUAACUCCGUGCCAGCCGCCGC